rnacentral:tRNA from 1 species
AGCGGAUGACGCGACUCGAACGCGCGACAAUGGACUUGGAAAGACCACACUCUACCAACUGAGUUACAUCCGC